CUCAGGCGUACCUGCACUGCUACGAGGAUAUGAAACCACCAAAAAGCACAUCUCUGCAGUGAAACACGGUCUUCCAAGACGCUGAAUGAAUGAAAUUUGAGAAGGGUCCAGGAUUUUCUGGUCAUGGCCAUCAGUGGAAGGGAUCCCAAUCCAGGCUGUGUGCAACUGCAAAAGGCUUCUUCAAGAUCAGUUAGCACUGUGG